AUUGUCUCCUGGGCCGGACCCGGGUCGCGGAAGGAAGAAGAUGCAAGCCAGCCCCAUCCGUAUCCCAACUGUUAGCAAUGACAUCGACUGGGAUUUCUGCUUCCGUAUGUCACAGCAAACCGAGAUCCCAGCUCACCAGCAAACAGAUGAGUUGUAUCCCACUGGUGGGUGUGGAGAGAGUGAAGAGGAAACUAAAGCUAAAGAGAAGGAGAAGGCCAUAGACUGUAUGUCUCAUCCCAAAGAGAAAUUAGCCCAAUCCCAGAAGAAAGUAGCUCAGCUGAUUAAGGAAAAAAUGAAUACUCAAGCAAACAAGGAGCUGAUUCGAUGUGUCAUCCUUUCUCGGAUUAUUUUUGGGGACCAUCACUGGAAAUGUGCACAAGCUCUGGCCAACCUAGCUUAUGGCUACUUGACACUGAGAGGCCUCCCAGUUCAGGCCAAGAAACAUGCUACGUCAGCCAAGAAUACACUGUUGACCUGGAAGGCAAAUACGACCUCAGAUAAGGAGAAAGAGGAAAUCCUGGAAGCUCUGGUCAAGCUGUACUACA
rnacentral:sRNA from 1 species